GUUUUGUUUACGCUGCAUUGCAGGUAGAUUGCAUCGGUGAUGAGGGAUACUGUCAGGGACCGUGUGGCGAGAAAGUUCAGGAUCAGCUGGAGUGCGUUGUCUUGGGCUUGUUCAUCCGGGUGCGUUGAGGAAAAUUAAGCUGAGUCGAGGAAGGUGGUGACCGUGCACGAGUUUGGGAGCUGACUGGAGUGCGCUUUUCCAUCGGAUAUAGAUAUCGUUAAUAUAUUUAUAAAUAGAUGUAGAUUUAAUUGGAUGUGUCCAUGUCCAGAUUAUUGUUUCUUCCUUGUAUGAUUAAGGCCAUUAAAAUGUCAAUUUUCUUCUCUAAGUUGUCGACUCUAUUAGCUAGGUUUGUUGUGUGGUCGUCCGAGAAGCCUUUUUGUAUGUAUGGAUUGGAGUUUCUUGGCGAUGGUGUGGCUACAUCAAUAACUCUUGGUUUGAAACUAGCUCUGGCAGCUCUGCUGGUGGUCGGAGGGCUGUCAUUGCUAGCUUGCAUGGGAUUUGAGUUA